CCUACGGGAGGCAGCAGUGAGGAAUAUUGGUCAAUGGACGAGAGUCUGAACCAGCCAAGUAGCGUGAAGGAUGACUGCCCUAUGGGUUGUAAACUUCUUUUAUAUGGGAAUAAAACGUUCCACGUGUGGGAUUUUGUAUGUACCAUAUGAAUAAGGAUCGGCUAACUCCGUGCCAGCAGCCGCGGUAAUACGGAGGAUCCGAGCGUUAUCCGGAUUUAUUGGGUUUAAAGGGAGCGUAGGUGGAUUGUUAAGUCAGUUGUGAAAGUUUGCGGCUCAACCGUAAAAUUGCAGUUGAAACUGGCAGUCUUGAGUACAGUAGAGGUGGGCGGAAGUCGUGGUGUAGCGGUGAAAUGCUUAGAGAUCACGAAGAACUCCGAUUGCGAAGGCAGUUCACUGGACUGCAACUGACACUGAGGCUCGAAAGUGUGGGUAUCAAACAGGAUUAGAUACCCUAGUAGUC
rnacentral:rRNA from 1 species